rnacentral:misc_RNA from 1 species
AGGCAGCUUUGCUGGCUCUGC